AAUUAACUCAAAAAAGAAACAACCUUUUGGGUUAUGGAAGUAGUGAAUAGGAGUGAUCCUAUCCAUUUUGAAAACCCUAGAUAUUCAACAACAUCCUGGUAUAUUUCCCCAAAAUAAAAAUCAAAGAAAAUCAAAUGUCAGAAUAUAUCCCGUUAGAAAUACAAGCGGAAAUCUUGAAGAGGCUUUCUUUGAAGCCAUUACUUCAAUUCCGAACUGUUUCAAAGUCAUUCAAGGGUUUGAUCGACAACCCUGAUUUUAUUAAUUCUCACGUUGUUCAUCACCACCCUCAGCAGCCACAUGAUCGUUUCAUUUUAAGGUAUGUACUUAAUUGGUCAACAGGGUAUUGUGAUCAGGAAAGAUAUAUUACUUUUGUUGAUGAUGAUGAUAGAUUUGUCCUACAAGGAUUUAUUUCCCCUGUUCCUGACCUCAUUAAGACCCUCAAGUUCUCAAAUGUAGUGGGCAGCUCUCAUGGUUUGCUGUGCUUUAGCGGUUAUUACUAUGAACACUCAGAUGAUCAUUCCAGUAGAACAGAGAUGGUUGUUCUUUGGAAUGUUUCAAUUAGGAAAUCCGUUGGUAUUCGAGUGCCAGAUAUAUGUGAUAAGCCAAAUGGGAAGUUUUAUGAUCAUAACGUUCAUAGUGUUUUCGGUUUUGGGGUGUGUCCUGUCACGUUUGAUCCUACUGUUAUCAAGAUUACUUCUGUUCAUUAUAGGCGGAAUAGAAAUGAUAUAAGACGCAUUAGCCUCCCUUGGAUAGUUGGAGUUUUUACUUGGAGCAGCGGGACUUGGAGUAUUCUAUCUACCAAUAUUCCCCGCGGCUCAAUUAGACUUAGAAGGUCUCAGGUUAUUAUUGAUAGGUUUAUCUAUUGGGUAGCUUAUGAUAUGUUUGAUCCUGAAGAUGGUAUUGAUGCUCAAGAAGCUCUACCUCAAUCACGUUUUCUGAUCGUGUCAUUCGAUUUGACUGCCAAAGAAUUUAAAGAGAUAAGGCUCACAGGUAGUUUAACAAACUUUCGUUGUAAAAUUCCGUCUAUAUCUAAGCUACGGGAGUCUCUUGUUUUGCUUGCAUAUCAUUUUGAGGAACAAGUAUCAGCUUGUCAUUGUCUUUGGAUGAUGAACGAGGAAGGUGUUAGUAGAUCGUUUACAAAGCUAUACACCAUUAAAGUAGAAGAUGCCUCAAUACGCCAAAUCCUAGGAUUCAAGAAGACUGGUGAAUUAAUAAUGGAAACUUCAUACAAAUCCGAAAAAACAACCAAUGUUCAAAUUUAUGAGCCGAAUAAUGAAUACGUCGAGAAUCUCGAGAUUGAUGGAAAAGAUUUUGCGUCCUUUAUGUGUUUCUAUACGGAAACGCUAUAUCUUCUUGAUAAGCCUGAUGGUUAUAUAUAUCUUCCAAGAGUAGCUGUAUGAUCUACUACUUCAUCAGGGAGAGACCUGGCUUGUUUAUAAGGGCUCUUUCACGCAAUCAGAUACGGCUGGGAGGCAUCUACCUCAUCCCGAUCACAAGGAGAGGUUCACUAUGAUGGGGGCAAAGGCAACUCCCAUGGAAAUAAAAAAAAGACACUGAAGAUGAAGAUGUAUGGUGACAGGUGGUGACAGAAUGGAGUUUUUGAAAUGUAGUGACUUCAAGUACGGUUAUAUAAGGUUAAAGUUUUUGCUCAUUGUCAUCUAUGUUUUAGUGUGCAAAAAACCUCUGGCUUGUUCAUGAACGAACACAUUUGGCUAUUUAUGUGCAAGUGUUGUAACUAUAUUCUUAAUUAUGAGAUGUCAUAUAUUUACUGCAAA